rnacentral:rRNA from 1 species
UACGUAGGGGGCAAGCGUUGUCCGGAAUCAUUGGGCGUAAAGAGCGUGUAGGCGGCUCGGUAAGUCCGCUGUGAAAGUCCAGGGCUCAACCCUGGAAUGCCGGCGGAAACUGUCGAGCUAGAGUCCGGAAGAGGCGAGUGGAAUUCCUGGUGUAGCGGUGAAAUGCGCAGAUAUCAGGAGGAACACCAAUGGCGAAGGCAGCUCGCUGGGACGGUACUGACGCUGAGACGCGAAAGCGUGGGGAGCAAACAGG